rnacentral:rRNA from 1 species
UACGUAGGGGGCGAGCGUUGUCCGGAUUUACUGGGCGUAAAGAGCGCGUAGGCGGAUGUUUAAGUGUGGCCUCAAAGCCCCCGGCUCAACCGGGGAUCUGGGUUGCAAACUGGGCAUCUUGAGGGGGAUAGAGGAGAGUGGAAUUCCUGGUGUAGCGGUGAAAUGCGUAGAUAUCAGGAGGAACACCCGUGGCGAAGGCGGCUCUCUGGGUCCGCCCUGACGCUGAGGCGCGAAAGCGUGGGGAGCGAACAGG